AGUGAACGCUGGCGGCAGGCCUAACACAUGCAAGUCGAACGGCAGCACAGGAGAGCUUGCUCUCUGGGUGGCGAGUGGCGGACGGGUGAGGAAUGCGUCGGAAUCUGCCUAUUUGUGGGGGAUAACGUAGGGAAACUUACGCUAAUACCGCAUACGACCUACGGGUGAAAGUGGGGGACCGCAAGGCCUCACGCAGAUAGAUGAGCCGACGCCGGAUUAGCUAGUUGGCGGGGUAAAGGCCCACCAAGGCGACGAUCCGUAGCUGGUCUGAGAGGAUGAUCAGCCACACUGGAACUGAGACACGGUCCAGACUCCUACGGGAGGCAGCGGUGGGGAAUAUUGGACAAUGGGCGCAAGCCUGAUCCAGCCAUGCCGCGUGUGUGAAGAAGGCCUUCGGGUUGUAAAGCACUUUUGUCCGGAAAGAAAAGCAUCCGGUUAAUAACCGGGUGUCAUGACGGUACCGGAAGAAUAAGCACCGGCUAACUUCGUGCCAGCAGCCGCAGUAACAC
rnacentral:rRNA from 1 species